rnacentral:tRNA from 1 species
GGAGUGGGUAUAGCUCAGUGGUAGAGUGCAUGCUUAGUAUGCAUGAGGUCCUGUGUUCAAUCCCCAGUACCUCCA